rnacentral:tRNA from 1 species
GGAUGAUUAGCUCAGUGGAAGACCGUGCCCCUGUUAAGGGCAGUGUUCCCGAUAAAGUCGGGAUUCGAAUCUUUCAUCAUCCG